UCAUUUGAUCUUCACAAUAACUCUAAGAGAUAAGUGCUCUUUACAUAUGAGAAAGCUGAAAUUCAAAGAGGUUGGGAAACACAUCCAGGUCACAUAGCUAGUAAAUGGCUGAGACUAUGCUUCUAAAGCCAUAUAAUGAAUAGCCCAAUAGUGGAAGUAAGACACUCUAUAUAGGUAGAUUCACCCAAUCUUCUCUGCCUUUCCAAAACCUAUUCCCUAAAAUUACCUUGUGGCUAGUUUCUUUAUUUCUCCAAGGUCCUUCUUUUCCUUCUGUAAAAUGGGGAAAAUACCUAGGUUGCAAGUUUACUGUAAGAAUUAGAUAUUUACAAUGCCUGGUAUCCUGUAAAUGACAGCUGCUGUUAUUUCAUUUGUGUUGUGCAGGAAAUGUUUUUCUAAGAUGCGUGUGUAGCAAUCUGCUAAGGCAACUCUGGAAGCAGGGGAAGGUGGCAGCUAUGAGACAAAAAAGAUAGUUAAAUACAUUCCUUUGUCCCUGAAAGGCCCUGCAAUCAUCCCAGGCUGCCAGUUGCUUAAAUUGGGCAGCUUAUUCUCCUGGAGAGGGUUUUUGCACCCAUGGUGAAGGAAAGGAGCAAUAAAUGCUGCUGAGGUUGGGAUAAGGGGGUUGGCAAUCCAUUCUCGAUGGUCAGUUCUUUAGAGCUGAUGGACAGUGCUCGCUUCCAUACAAAGGGUGGGCCUUAUGUAAGCAUCGACAUCGGCAUGGGGACAGAAAGCAGCUAUCAUGCUGGUUAGGAAAGAGGGGAAGCAGCACUUGAGAGGUUAAGGGAGAAUAAGCAGUUGCAAGUUGUACUCUAGAAUUCUCUGUUGCGAGGAAGAAACUGGGAAGAUUGAGCUACCUAGGAAAGGGCGGUGCCACUGCUUUGAACCACAGGUGUUUUUGCCUGGUCACUAACCCAGGGGUUUCUCUCUCACCCGGGACCAAAGAGCCAUUCCUUUCUUAGUGUGGGCCAGGCACUGUGCUGAGUGUUGCGACUAUAUUUUCUCAGGUCUUUCUCACAACUGUCCUGUGAAGUAGUUAUGGCUAGCAAUACUUUAUAGAUAUGAAAACAGACUCAGAAGAGCUAGGUGACUCCAUACCCAGAACAACACUGCUAGUAAGUAAGCAUCAGUCAGGAUUUGAAUAUAGUGUUUUGACAUCUAUGCCAUGGCCCUUUCAAUUACUCCUCAGUUGCUACCUAUGGCUAGUGACUUAUGGGUAUUAAUUAAUUCAACAAGUAUUUGUUGAGCCACUGUUCUCCCAAUAAGUGCAACCUGGAGACAUGGCUUAGGGGGAGGACAUACUGCAGUCAAGCCCAAACAACACAGGAGGGAGGGUGGAGGAGAGUGAGAAUGGAGGAUGACUGGUAAUGGGUAUGGGGCCUCCCUUUAGGGUGUUGAAAAUGUUCUACAAGUAGAUAGUGGUGAUGGUUGUACAACACCGAGCAUACUAAGAACUACUGAACUAUACACUUUAAAUGGGUGAAUUUUAUAUGUCAGUUACUUUUCAAAUAAAGCUGCUAAAAAAAAAUAGAGAAAAUUAAAAGAUGAACAUACCAAAAAAACGAUAUACUCCACAAAAUUAGAAUAGAAAUAGGCAUAGUCAUGAGAGCUUUUAUAUCCAAAAGAAUAUAAUAUAGGAUGGUAUUAUAUUACAAUUUGAUUUUGGUACAUGUCACAAUAAAUUAAAAACAUAAAAAACCAAGCAAACAAAAAAUCCUAGACACAAGAGUGUUUUUACCCUAUGCCAUUCCACUACUGUGAACUAAAAAAAAGGGGGGGGGGGGGAAGGGUUCUUGCCUUUUUCUCACUUCUUAUACAGUUUCCAUGGGGGUUAUGUGAGGCUCCAAACUGAAUUAUCUAGGACAGCAUUUUCCAUAGCAACAAGAUGGAUUCAACAAGGAAAUGUUAGCACCUUAUAGUUCUGGUCUUGCACUAAGUGCACAAAGAAAACAAGUGUGCAGCAUGUCUGGGCUUCACUUACAAAAUUGUAAGUUGAUUGAUAACCUCUGCAGCUAACUCCUGAAUUCUGGUCCUCCCCUAGAACUUGGCUGAGCAAGUGCAACUUAGAUAAAAAAAAUAAAUGAUAAAUAAUAAAUUAAAAAGAAAACACAAAAACUUCUUGAGAGGCCAGAAGAGGGAACGUUAAAGCCAAGCAGCUGUGUGGACAGUUAAACCAAAGGGCUAUAGCUAUAGAUGGCAGAAGGUCAUUCUGAAACUACGUACAACAUACAUGAUCUGGCUAUGAGUCCAACCUGCCUUCACCUGCCUGAGCCUCUACCUCCUCCUGUGUUUGAGAACCAAUGCCCCACUUUAUAGGAAGCUUUAAUGCCUACUUUACACCCUAUUCAUAGAUUCAUAGAUUACACCCUACCUACAAACAAUGUUUUUUAAAAAAUCAAUGUUAUAAUUUACAAUAAGCAUUUCAAAGUGAAAAUGUCGUCAGACAUUAUCUAACCUAGAAGACAUAAUGGAAUAGUCAGAUGCUUAGUAUACCUCCUAUGAAAAAUAAAUUUGGAUUUUAAAGAGGAAAAAGGCCAUUCCACCCAAAGUCAUAAUAAACUGGUCUUAUUUGUAUUUAAUAAGAGAAGUAGGACUCACAACCCAAAUCAAGCAACCGACUGCUAAGUGGAGGAAAUCAAGUAGAAUGAGGAUUUAUCUGUAAUGUGAAGCCAGGACAAUUUUCUUAUGCUGUGCUACGGGAUGAGGCAGUGAGGUAUCACACAGGACAUACCUUCUAUACUAAUAUCCCACAUGUAUGGAGAGCCAUGCAUUCCCUGAACUUAAAGAACUUACAGAUGGGUUAGGGAUGCUGGAUCAGAAAUUCAGUCAUUUCCACAACAUAGGUUAUUAUUAGGCUUCUAUAAAUAUUUUUUAAAACAGACUUUACAAAAUUCAGUGAUAGCCUCACAUUUCAUGUACCUCCACUACCUUAAUAAUAUGUGCAAGUAUGUUUUAGUAAGUAGGGAAAGAAUUUGAAUUUGAUACAUACUAUCUCUGUUAAUAAAUAACUGAGUUCCUCUUACAACUCUCUCCUGCUAUCUUCUCCUAGCACCCAGUUAGGGAAAAAAAACGCCAAGAGUACAAAGCCCAGCCAGAGGUAUGCUUGUUCAUUUUUCAGAACUCCAAAACUUAUUUUAGAAAGCUAAGAAAAGAUAGAAGACUUACUUGAAACUAUUUUAAAGGACAGAACAAUUUUUAAAAAUGGGUUUCACAGGUGAAAAUUAAGAUGUUUGCAGACUAUUUUUCAGAACUAUCAAGGAUUAUAAUAGUGGUGGGUGGAAAAUUCUUUUUUCUGCAACAAAGCUGCAUUGAGAUUCAGGAAGAUCUCAUGUUAUCAUUAGUUACAGAUGAUAAAUGUGCAAGAGCACAGUAAUGUACAAGUUGAGCCUAAUGAUUCUAAUAUCCUUUUACUGGACUACAACCUAGCAUGGCAGCCUUUAAAAAAAAUUAUAUUUACCUUGUGUCAAUUUCCUAGCACAUUACACAACUGUUUAAAAAAAAAUUAGCCGCUGCCCACCUCCAGAGAAGCAUCAUUAAUUUUAUGGUAAGAACUUUUGAGAAAAUACAAUUUAAAAUUAAAUAACUUUUUAAAUAAGCAACUUAUAUUCCUGUUUUAUAUUAUUUUUUAUGAGUAUAAGCUCUGAAGUAGGACUUGGAUUUGAAUCCUGAUUCUCUCACUCAAUAUAUAAGACAACAUAUAUAAAGCACUUAGCAAAGUUGAAGGCACAUAGUAAGUCCUCAAAUGUUAAUUAUUAUUAUUAUUUCUAAUCAAAGCAAUGGUAGCUCCCUUUUAUAAACACUUACUAUAUGCAUGCUUUAUAAGUAUUAUUGCAGUUAUUUCUCUUAAUUAUUCAAUAAGAUUAUCUGUUUAACACCUGACAACCCUGAGGUUCAGAAAAGGCUGAGAAACCUGCUCAAGGUCAGAACCCCAGUGUGUGAAGAACCAAAGCAUCAAUGCUAGCUAACCAUCAUUAAAAAUUCUUGUGUGUGUGGGAAGGGAGGAGUGAAUGUAAGUGAGUGAGUAUGUGUGUGUGUGUGUAUUUAGUAGGGGAUCCACAGGUAUUCUCUGACAAUUAGACAUUUCUCAUGAUGAUAGAGAACUUAGAAAUAAUUAAUAUAAUAUUUUGAUUAUUUAUUGACAUACCUGCCUUAAAACCAAAUAUUGCCAGGACGUUUCAGUGCCUAGGUUUGCAUUUGUGUUUACUUGCACAGUGAAGUCGGGUUCUGCUUUAGCUGUGGGAGGCUUAUGGAGAACAUAGAGAACAGAGAAAGUGUUUCCCUUAAUAGGGAAAGGAUGCAGUC
rnacentral:lncRNA from 1 species